CCCGGCGGGAUCUGGAUGUGGCUCAUGCCGGCGGCGGCCGAGGGGAUAGACGGGUUGGGCCGCCGGCGGCCACUGUCUCCGCGCUCACUCACGCCGGCCUUUCGCUCCGCGCCCGCGAGGUCUCUUCCCGCGCGGCCCCGGCUCGGCCUUCCUCACGUCGCGCCGCUCUUUGGCCGGCUCUGAGAUUCCAGGCCGCGCAACCCUACGCUACCACGGCCGGCCUGGCACCGCCGCCGCUGUCACUGGGCAGCCGCCGCCGCCGCGGGGACCGACGGGGAGGCGAGCUGGACCGGCGGGGCAGGCGUCCUGGUUGUGACGCACGCGACCGCGGGCGUGCGCGUCCCCGCGUAGCAUCGGCCCUCAGUGCGCUUGCGCCACUAGGUGACACGCCCCUCGGGCUGUCGGGGGGUCGAGACAGUGGACGGUUCCUAAUGCCGGCUCAUGGCGGGAAUCCGGGGAAUUAGCUGAUGCCAAGAGCCUCCUUUUGGCCGGCACUUAGCACCAGAGACACAGCGAGAAGCAGAAACAUACGAGCACCUCAGUGUGGUUCUUCUCUGAUGAAGGGCAAGAGAGGGCUCACUUUCGGGAGUGACAUUCAAGCUGGACGCGAGGUCUGAGCAGAACCCGCCUAGGGGAAGAUCUGGAGGAAAGCCAUCUGAACAUACAACAAGAGCAAAGGCCUGGUGGAGUCAGGACCACCUUGGCUGCCAGGUGGAAUGGUGGAAUAACUCAGGAGUCUGGCAGGUCUCUGAGAUGUCACACGGGGAAGGCCUUGUAGGAAGUAGGCGUUUGAAAGAGAUCAUAAUUUGAGAGCCACAGGCAGAAAAAUAAAUUUGAAAGAGUUCAGUC